GACGAACGCUGGCGGCGUGCCUAAUACAUGCAAGUAGGACGCAGUUGCGAACGGGUGAGUAACGCGUAGGUCACUGCCUCUUUGAGGGGGAUAACUAUUGUAAACGAUAGCUAAUACCGCAUACUAUUCGAUGGACCUUCGUUGUAUUAGCUAGUAGGUAGGGGAAUGGCCUACCUAGGCGACGAUACAUAGCCGCCAUGAGAGGGGGAACGGCAAAACUGGGGAUGAGACACGGACCAAGCAACUACGGGAGGAGGCAAUAGGGAAUCAUCGGCAAUGGGGGGAACCGUGACCGGGCAACUGCGCGUGGGUGAAGAAGGUUUUCGGAUCGUAAAGAUCUGUUGUUUAGGAAGCGGUACUUAACCAGAAAGGGACGGCUAACUACGUGCCAGCAGCCGCGGUAAUUC
rnacentral:rRNA from 1 species